GUGUGCUUUGGCCCUAAGGGCAUUUUGGUCUUUUGACCUUAUUUAAUUUAUUCUAGUAAAAGCUGAAUUUUGAGUUAAUGAGAUGAAAAUUCUGGUAUUCCCUUCCCCAUAACCCUCUCUCUCUCAAACCCUCUCCUUAUUCUAGCUUUGAUUUUGAUGGGAAUUGCUUGUUUUGGAGCUUGGAGUUUGUGGAUUAGUGAGCUUGAAAGUGAAGGAAGUUUUAGCUAAACUUGAGGAUUACCGGCACCUGGUCAGGAGCACCCGGGGAUUCGGAAUCUCUGCCUUUGCGGGACAACAGGAAAGGGUAAGACUAUUGCUCAUCAGCCAUGAGUGCAGGAGCUGGGCGAAGAAUGUACAUGUCCGGGCCAUAUCAGACCAAGCGGGUUAAGGGUCUAUCAGUGAUGAACUUUUGAAUUCUAUUUUGCCGUUUAGGUCGGCUAGAAGUAAAUGACUUGUAAUAGCGUUUGUAAAUAUUUUUGGGA